rnacentral:rRNA from 1 species
AGCGAACGCUGGCGGCAGGCUUAACACAUGCCAGUCGAGCGGGCACUUUCGGGUGUCAGCGGCGGACGGGUGAGUAACGCGUGGGAACGUGCCCUCUGGUUCGGAAUAACUCAGGGAAACUUGAGCUAAUACCGGAUACGCCCUUUUGGGGAAAGGCUUGCUGCCGGAGGAUCGGCCCGCGUCUGAUUAGCUAGUUGGUGAGGUAACGGCUCACCAAGGCGACGAUCAGUAGCUGGUCUGAGAGGAUGAUCAGCCACACUGGGACUGAGACACGGCCCAGACUCCUACGGGAGGCAGCAGUGGGGAAUAUUGGACAAUGGGCGCAAGCCUGAUCCAGCCAUGCCGCGUGAGUGAUGAAGGCCUUAGGGUUGUAAAGCUCUUUUAUCCGGGACGAUGAUGACGGUACCGGAGGAAUAAGCCCCGGCUAACUUCGUG